rnacentral:rRNA from 1 species
AUUGAACGCUGGCGGUAGGCCUAACACAUGCAAGUCGAACGCGAAAGUCCUUCGGGAUGAGUAGAGUGGCGGACGGGUGAGUAACGCGUAGGAAUCUAUCCUGUAGUGGGGGAUAACGUUUCGAAAGGAACGCUAAUACCGCAUACGCCCCAAGGGGGAAAGCGGGGGAUCUUCGGACCUCGUGCUAUAGGAGGAGCCUGCGUCGGAUUAGCUAGUUGGUGAGGUAAAGGCUCACCAAGGCGACGAUCCGUAGCUGGUCUGAGAGGAUGAUCAGCCACACCGGAACUGAGACACGGUCCGGACUCCUACGGGAGGCAGCAGUGGGGAAUAUUGCACAAUGGAGGAAACUCUGAUGCAGCGACGCCGUGUGAGUGAAGAAGGUCUUCGGAUCGUAAAACUCUGUCCUUGGUGAGAAAGAAUGACGGUAGCCAAGGAGGAAGCCCGGCUAACUACGUGCCAGCAGCCGCGG